rnacentral:tRNA from 1 species
GGUGGGUUGGCUGAGAGGCUGAAAGCAACACACUGCUAAUGUGUUAACCCCCACAAGGGGUUCGCAGGUUCGAAUCCUGCACCCACCG